rnacentral:rRNA from 1 species
CCUACGGGUGGCAGCAGUGAGGAAUAUUGGUCAAUGGACGAGAGUCUGAACCAGCCAAGUAGCGUGAAGGAUGACUGCCCUAUGGGUUGUAAACUUCUUUUAUAAAGGAAUAAAACGAGGCACGUGUGCCUUUUUGCAUGUACUUUAUGAAUAAGGAUCGGCUAACUCCGUGCCAGCAGCCGCGGUAAUACGGAGGAUCCGAGCGUUAUCCGGAUUUAUUGGGUUUAAAGGGAGCGUAGAUGGGUUGUUAAGUCAGUUGUGAAAGUUUGCGGCUCAACCGUAAAAUUGCAAUUGAUACUGGCAGUCGUGAGUACAAUUGAGGUAGGCGGAAUUCGUGGUGUAGCGGUGAAAUGCUUAGAUAUCACGAAGAACCCCGAUUGCGAAGGCAGCUUACUAAACUGUGACUGACAUUGAUGCUCGAAAGUGUGGGUAUCAAACAGGAUUAGAUACCCCAGUAGUC